CAUCAGUCAAACACCUUCUCUCACUCUCAUCUCCGAUUCAUGAGUGACAAUAGCAAAUUUCUGUUUUCUCCCCUCAAUUUCCACCAAUCGCAUCUCCGAUUUUGUGCUUCACAUCUCAUUUUUCAUCUUUCUUGAUGAGCAAACCAAUCGCAUCUCCGACUUGUAUGUGUAAGUUUUCGUUUUUGAAAUCGUUCUGUGUGUAUGAAUCUGAAAUCGUUCUGUGUGUAUGAAUCUGAAAUCGCUGCAUUCGUCGUUUGGGAGGGGCAUAAAUUUGAGAAAGGGGGCGAACGGUAAAGGACGAACUGAGAAAGUGGGACGAAACGAGUCAGGUUUGUUGUCAUGUUCGUCGAUGUAGGGUUUGCAGGGGUGAAGUCGUCGGAGAAGAAGAGGAGAUAGAGGACGGCGGUGGCAGUGAUGGAUUGUGUAUGGGUGAUUUUCGGUGGGGCACAGUUGGCUCAAUCGCUACACAUAUCUAGAAGAUAACUUCACAAAAGAAGAAAACAGGGGUGAUUGCUCCAAAACGCUUUGUACAGAGAUUGAAGAAGCAGAAUGAGAUUUUCCAUAGCUAUAUGCACCAGAAGAAAAUCUAUUAACAUGCCCAAAGGAAAUGGCCAAAAGGAUCAACGAUUUAUGUGAAGUUGAUGCUUGAAGAACGGACAACAAAAUUAAAAGUGUUUUCUUAGCAACAUUAUUCUUUUAGAAUGAAUUAGUGUAUUUGUUAGAUUUUGAUGUUUUUUCCCGAUUUGAAAGUCUUUUAGUUUUAUUCUUUAACAGUAAAUGUAAUUCUUAACAAUUGUUACAUGUAUUCUAUAAGAAUUAAUGUAAUUUUUUUUAAUUCUUCAA